rnacentral:lncRNA from 1 species
AAGUGAGUAUAACUGAGGCCAUCACUAUGGAACCUAUAUCUGCUGUACCUCCAGUAGAGACUGAGGUUCCCAAGGCCGUCAAGAAACCAAAGUCCACCACAGCCGUAGGGCCCAUUACCACGAUGUUGCUGGGGAACCGGGGGAGACUAAAGUGGAAUCAACCAAGAAGAGUUUCAAUGCACCGAUAAUUAUUCGGUAGAGAUUUUUUUUUUCUUCUGGGAUGUAUUGACCUAAUAUAGGUCUUUUUUUGGAACAUAUUAAUCC